UGAUCUCAGAAGCUAAGCAGGGUUGGGCCUGGUUAGUACUUGGAUGGGAGACCACCUAGGAAGACCAGGUGCUGUAGGUG
rnacentral:rRNA from 1 species